rnacentral:rRNA from 1 species
GACGAACGCUGGCGGCGUGCUUAACACAUGCAAGUCGAGCGAUAAGGCCCUUCGGGGUACACGAGCGGCGAACGGGUGAGUAACACGUGGGUGACCUGCCCUCAGCUCUGGGAUAAGCCUGGGAAACCGGGUCUAAUACUGGAUAUGACUCCAUGACGCAUGUUGUGGGGUGGAAAGCCUUGUGCGGCUGAGGAUGGGCCCGCGGCCUAUCAGCUUGUUGGUGGGGUGAUGGCCUACCAAGGCGACGACGGGUAGCCGGCCUGAGAGGGCGACCGGCCACACUGGGACUGAGACACGGCCCAGACUCCUACGGGAGGCAGCAGUGGGGAAUCUUGCGCAAUGGGCGAAAGCCUGACGCAGCGACGCCGCGUGAGGGAUGACGGCCU